rnacentral:rRNA from 1 species
UACCAGCACCCCGAGUGGUCGGGACGUUUUAUUGGGCCUAAAGCAUCCGUAGCCGGUUCUACAAGUCUUCCGUUAAAUCCACCUGCUCAACAGAUGGGCUGCGGAAGAUACUAUGGAGCUAGGAGGCGGGAGAGGCAAGCGGUACUCGAUGGGUAGGGGUAAAAUCCGUUGAUCCAUUGAAGACCACCAGUGGCGAAGGCGGCUUGCCAGAACGCGCUCGACGGUGAGGGAUGAAAGCUGGGGGAGCAAACCGG